UGAGUCUUGUAGUUGGCAAAACAAAGUUCUUUGCCCUACAUUUUUUAGAAAGGAAGCGGUCCCUGGUCAUGGUGAGCAAGCUCAUGAAUUAGUGAGAAGCCUAAAGUGAUUAUCUACUACAUCCACCUGUCGUAUGACGGGCGGAGACUUUCAAACUGCUGGCUAUGAGACUCCU
rnacentral:other from 1 species